UACGUAGGGGGCAAGCGUUGUCCGGAUUUAUUGGGCGUAAAGCGCGUGUAGGCGGCCAGGUAGGUCGGUUGUGAAAACUGGAGGCUCAACCUCCAGACGUCGACCGAAACCAUCUGGCUAGAGUCCGGAAGAGGAGAGUGGAAUUCCUGGUGUAGCGGUGAAAUGCGCAGAUAUCAGGAAGAACACCGAUGGCGAAGGCAGCUCUCUGGGACGGUACUGACGCUGAGGCGCGAAAGCUAGGGGAGCGAACAGG
rnacentral:rRNA from 1 species